GGCAGCCAGCGCAGGGGCUUCUGCUGAGGGCGCAGGCGGAGCUUGAGGAAACCGCAGAUAAGUUUUUUUCACUUUGAAAGAUAGAGAUUAAUACAACUACUUAAAAAAUAUAGUCAAUAGGUUACUAAGAUAUUGCUUAGCGUUAAGCUUUUAACGUAAUUUUAAUAGCUUAAGAUUUUAAGAGAAAAUAUGAAGACUUAGAAGAGUAGCAUGACGAAGGAAAAGAUAAAAGAUUUCUAAAACAUGACGGAGGUUGAGAUGAAGCUUCUUCAUGGAGUAAAAAAUGUAUUUAAAAGAAAAUUGAGAGAAAGGACUACAGAGCCCUGAAUUAAUACCAAUAGAAGGGCAAUGCUUUUAGAUUAAAAUGAAGGUGACUUAAACAGCUUAAAGUUUACUUUAAAAGUUGUAGGUGAUUAAAAUAAUUUGAAGGCGAUCUUUUAAAAAGAGAUUAAACCGAAGGUGAUUAAAAGACCUUGAAAUCCAUGACGCAGGGAGAAUUGCGUCAUUUAAAGCCUAGUUAACGCAUUUAAACGCAGACGAAAAUGGAAAGAUUAGUUGGGAGUGGUAGGAUGAAACGAUUUGGAGAAGAUAGAAGUUUGAAGUGGAAAACUGGAAGACAGAAGUACAGGAAGGCGGAGAAAAGAAUAGAGAAGAUAGGGAAAUUAGAAGAUAAAAACAUACUUUUAGAAGAAAAAAGAUAAAUUUAAACCUGAAAAGUAGGAAGCAGAAGAAAAAAGACAAGCUAGGAAACAAAAAACUAAGGGCAAAAUGUACAAACUUAGAAGAAAAUUGGAAGAUAGAAACAAGAUAGAAAAUGAAAAUAUUGUCAAGAGUUUCAGAUAGAAAAUGAAAAACAAGCUAAGACAAGUAUUGGAGAAGUAUAGAAGAUAGAAAAAUAUAAAGCCAAAAAUUGGAUAAAAUAGCACUGAAAAAGUGAGGAAAUUAUUGGUAACCAAUUUAUUUUAAAAGCCCAUCAAUUUAAUUUCUGGUGGUGCAGAAGUUAGAAGGUAAAGCUUGAGAAGAUGAGGGUGUUUACGUAGACCAGAACCAAUUUAGAAGAAUACUUGAAGCUAGAAGGGGAAGUUGGUUAAAAAUCACAUCAAAAAAGGACUGGUGUAAUUUAAAAAAAAACUAAGGCAGAAGGCUUUUGGAAGAGUUAGAAGAAUUUGGAAGGCCUUAAAUAUAGUAGCUUAGUUUGAAAAAUGUGAAGGACUUUCGUAACGGAAGUAAUUCAAGAUCAAGAGUAAUUACCAACUUAAUGUUUUUGCAUUGGACUUUGAGUUAAGAUUAUUUUUUAAAUCCUGAGGACUAGCAUUAAUUGACAGCUGACCCAGGUGCUACACAGAAGUGGAUUCAGUGAAUCUAGGAAGACAGCAGCAGACAGGAUUCCGGGAACCAGUGUUUGAUGAAGCUAGGACUGAGGAGCAAGCGAGCAAGCAGCAGUUCGUGGUGAAGAUAGGAAAAGAGUCCAGGAGCCAGUGCGAUUUGGUGAAGGAAGCUAGGAAGAAGGAAGGAGCGCUAACGAUUUGGUGGUGAAGCUAGGAAAAAGGAUUCCAGAAAGGAGCGAGUGCGAUUUGGUGAUGAAGCUAGCAGGCGGCUUGGCUUGGCAACCACACGGAGGAGGCGAGCAGGCGUUGUGCGUAGAUAGAGGAUCCUAGACCAGCAUGCCAGUGUGCCAAGGCCACAGGGAAAACGAGUGGUUGGUAAAAAUCCGUGAGGUCGGCAAUAUGUUGUUUUUCUGGAACUUAUGGUAACCUUUUAUUUAUUUUCUAAUAUAAUGGGGGAGUUUCGUACUGAGGUGUAAAGGGAUUUAUAUGGGGAACGUAGGCCGAUUUCCGGGUGUUGUAGGUUUCUCUUUUUCAGGCUUAUACUCAUGAAUCUUGUCUGAAGCUUUUGAGGGCAGACUGCCAAGUCCUGGAGAAAUAGUAGAUGGCAAGUUUGUGGGUUUUUUUUUUUUUUUUUUUUUUUUUUACGAAUUUGAGGAAAACCAAAUGAAUUUGAUAGCCAAAUUGAGACAAUUUCAGCAAAUCUGUAAGCAGUUUGUAUGUUUAGUUGGGGUAAAUGAAGUAUUUCAGUUUUGUGAAUAGAUGACCUGUUUUUACUUCCUCACCCUGAAUUCGUUUUGUAAAUGUAGAGUUUGGAUGUGUAACUGAGGCGGGGGGGAGUUUUCAGUAUUUUUUUUUUGUGGGGGUGGGGGCAAAAUAUGUUUUCAGUUCUUUUUCCCUUAGGUCUGUCUAGAAUCCUAAAGGCAAAUGACUCAAGGUGUAACAGAAAACAAGAAAAUCCAAUAUCAGGAUAAUCAGACCACCACAGGUUUACAGUUUAUAGAAACUAGAGCAGUUCUCACGUUGAGGUCUGUGGAAGAGAUGUCCAUUGGAGAAAUGGCUGGUAGUUACUCUUUUUUCCCCCCACCCCCUUAAUCAGACUUUAAAAGUGCUUAACCCCUUAAACUUGUUAUUUUUUACUUGAAGCAUUUUGGGAUGGUCUUAACAGGGAAGAGAGAGGGUGGGGGAGAAAAUGUUUUUUUCUAAGAUUUUCCACAGAUGCUAUAGUACUAUUGACAAACUGGGUUAGAGAAGGAGUGUACCGCUGUGCUGUUGGCACGAACACCUUCAGGGACUGGAGCUGCUUUUAUCCUUGGAAGAGUAUUUCCAGUUGAAGCUGAAAAGUACAGCACAGUGCAGCUUUGGUUCAUAUUCAGUCAUCUCAGGAGAACUUCAGAAGAGCUUGAGUAGGCCAAAUGUUGAAGUUAAGUUUUCCAAUAAUGUGACUUCUUAAAAGUUUUAUUAAAGGGGAGGGGCAAAUAUUGGCAAUUAGUUGGCAGUGGCCUGUUACGGUUGGGAUUGGUGGGGUGGGUUUAGGUAAUUGUUUAGUUUAUGAUUGCAGAUAAACUCAUGCCAGAGAACUUAAAGUCUUAGAAUGGAAAAAGUAAAGAAAUAUCAACUUCCAAGUUGAUAACAUCUUCUGAGUCAUAACCAGCCUGGCAGUAUGAUGGCCUAGAUGCAGAGAAAACAGCUCCUUGGUAUCUCUUCGUUAUCAGAAGAGUUGCUUCAUUUCAUCUGGGAGCAGAAAACAGCAGGCAGCUGUUAACAGAUAAGUUUAACUUGCAUCUGCAGUAUUGCAUGUUAGGGAUAAGUGCUUAUUUUUAAGAGGUGUGGAGUUCUUAAAUAUCAACCAUGGCACUUUCUCCUGACCCCUUCCCUAGGGGAUUUCAGGAUUGAGAAAUUUUUCCAUCGAGCCUCUUUAAAAUUGUAGGACUUGUUCCUGUGGGCUUCAAUGAUGGGAUAGUACACUUCACUCAGAGGCAUUUGCAUCUUUAAAUAAUUUCUUAAAAGCCUCUAAAGUGAUCAGUGCCUUGAUGCCAACUAAGGAAAUUUGUUUAGCAUUGAAUCUCUGAAGGCUCUAUGAAAGGAAUAGCAUGAUGUGCUGUUAGAAUCAGAUGUUAUUGCUAAAAUUUACAUGUUGUGUUGUGAUGUAAAUUGUGUAGAAAACCAUUAAAUCAUUCAAAAUAAUAAACUAUUUUUAUUAGAGAAUGUAUACUUUUAGAAAGCUGUCUCCUUAUUUAAAUACAAUACUGUUUGUCUGUAGUUUAGUGUUGGGGCAAUCUUGGGGGGGAUUCUUCUCUAAUCUUUCAGAAACUUUGUCUGCGAACACUCUUUAAUGGACCAGAUCAGGAUUUGAGCGGAAGAACGAAUGUAACUUUAAGGCAGGAAAGACAAAUUUUAUUCUUCAUAAAGUGAUGAGCAUAUAAUAAUUCCAGGCACAUGGCAAUAGAGGCCCUCUAAAUAAGGAAUAAAUAACCUCUUAGACAGGUGGGAGAUUAUGAUCAGAGUAAAAGGUAAUUACACAUUUUAUUUCCAGAAAGUCAGGGGUCUAUAAAUUGACAGUGAUUAGAGUAAUACUUUUUCACAUUUCCAAAGUUUGCAUGUUAACUUUAAAUGCUUACAAUCUUAGAGUGGUAGGCAAUGUUUUACAUUAUUGACCUUAUAUAGGGAAGGGAGGGGGUGCCUGUGGGUUUUUAAAGAAUUUUCCUUUGCAGAGGCAUUUCAUCCUUCAUGAAGCUGUUCAGGAUUUUGAAUUGCAUAUGAGUGCUUGGCUCUUCCUUCUGUUCUCCUAACUUCACAGAGAAUGCAGUUGUCUUGACUUCAGGUCUGUCUGUUCUGUUGGCAAGUAAAUGCAGUACUGUUCUGAUCCCGCUGCUAUUAGAAUGCAUUGUGAAACGACUGGAGUAUGAUUAAAAGUUGUGUUCCCCAAUGCUUGGAGUAGUGAUUGUUGAAGGAAAAAAUCCAGCUGAGUGAUAAAGGCUGAGUGUUGAGGAAAUUUCUGCAGUUUUAAGCAGUCGUAUUUGUGAUUGAAGCUGAGUACAUUUUGCUGGUGUAUUUUUAGGUAAAAUGCUUUUUGUUCAUUUCUGGUGCUGGGAGGGGACUGAAGCCUUUAGUCUUUUCCAGAUGCAACCUUAAAAUCAGUGACAAGAAACAAAUUCCAAACAAGCAACAGUCUUCAAGAAAUUAAACUGGCAAGUGGAAAUGUUUAAACAGUUCAGUGAUCUUUAGUGCAUUGUUUUUGUGUGGGUUUCUCUCUCCCCUCCCUUGGUCUUAAUUCUUACAUGCAGGAACACUCAGCAGACACACGUAUGCGAAGGGCCAGAGAAGCCAGACCCAGUAAGAAAAAAUAGCCUAUUUACUUUAAAUAAACCAAACAUUCCAUUUUAAAUGUGGGGAUUGGGAACCACUAGUUCUUUCAGAUGGUAUUCUUCAGACUAUAGAAGGAGCUUCCAGUUGAAUUCACCAGUGGACAAAAUGAGGAAAACAGGUGAACAAGCUUUUUCUGUAUUUACAUACAAAGUCAGAUCAGUUAUGGGACAAUAGUAUGA
rnacentral:lncRNA from 1 species